rnacentral:lncRNA from 1 species
UGGGUUUUAUGAUGAAAUUGUAGUUUUGAAGUUGUAAGCAUGAAUUUGAUGUUAGAAAUAGGUUCUAAGUGCAUACAGAAAGUUAAUUUGCAUCUGUAAACUGAUUUGGGGAGUGAUUGGAAGAAAAAUGGGAUUUUUGGGAAAAACCAGGUUUCUGCCCGUACAGAAGUUCAUCGCUCGCCUCGCGAGUAGCUGUGCUCGCCAUGGCGAGUGAGCAACUUCAUAGCUCGCCUCGCGAGCAAUCCAACUCGCCAUGGCGAGUA